rnacentral:snRNA from 1 species
CUUUAUCAUAUGUAUAGAGGCAAU